UGUUCUGUGGCUGAGUUGGUUAAAGCGCCGGUCUAGCGAAUACAGAGUCAUGGGUUUAAAUCCCUCCAGGACGU
rnacentral:tRNA from 1 species